UACAGAGGUCCCGAGCGUUGUUCGGAUUCACUGGGCGUAAAGGGGCGUUGGUGGCGAGGUAAGUCGGAUGUGAAAGCUCGGAGCUCAACUCCGAAAUGGCAUUGGAAACUACCUUGCUCGAGGGUUGGAGGGGGGACUGGAAUACUUGGUGUAGCAGUGAAAUGCGUAGAUAUCAAGUGGAACACCAGUGGCGAAGGCGAGUCCCUGGACAACUACUGACACUGAGGCACGAAAGCUAGGGGAGCAAACAGG
rnacentral:rRNA from 1 species